UCCAGAAUUUGACAAAUUGGUUGAAAAAACCAGGAAACUUUUGGCUAAAAAUUCCAUUUUUUUGCUUUGCAGAAAGGUUUGGUUUUAUUGACUCCUCAUUUUAUCGGCUCUGAGGGCGGGAGGGGAAGGCAAAGAGCAAAACUGAGAUUUCAGCACCAUUUCCCUCCCUCCCCAGGGCAGCACCCACCCCAAAAAACUCUCCUGGAUCCAUGGAAAAACCCAAAUAUUCCACAGGGAGGAGGGGACCCAGCAGAGCCUGGAGGCAGGGACACACCCGGGAGGGUUUGGGGAGCUCACCUGAGGGGCUUGGACAAGAACUGACAUUUCCUGCGUCACUUUAUAAAAUCCCUGCCGAGGGCUGGAAUUCCUGAAAUCCAUUUCUUGUGGUCUGGAAAGGCUCCUGCAGGAGUUUGGGAAAGGGAGAAAUCCUGGGGAGGGAGGGUGAGGACCUCACCUGCUGCAGGUACAGCCCAAAAAAACCAAAAUUUCAAAAUAUCCUGAGGGGACAGGGCCCGAAACCUGGAUCCAGACACUUCCAAGGCUGGGUAUUAGGGGGAAAAAUAUGGAUAUUGUGGAAAAAAAUAUGGAUAUUAUGGAAAAAAAUAGGGAUGUCAUGGAAAAAAUAUGUACGUCAUGGGAAAUUAUCCAGGAAAAGGAAGAAAAUCGGUCCUGGAGCAGCCAAAAUCAAAAAUGGGCCUGGUAGGAGCAGCCCGGCCAAAAUUGCUCCUAAAAUCCUUCCAUUUGUUCCCUGGCAGCCCCACAAAAAUAUCUCCAAAAAUCCAAAUUUUGGGGGUUUGCUGAUGAAGUGUGUCAGGAUUUUGGGGUGGAAUUUAGGAUUCUUCCUGCAAAAAAUCCCAAUAAAAAAGAAUCAGAGGCUCAGCUGAGAAAAUCUCCCCUCACACCGAGCGAGGCCUCCCCUCAAAAUCCCAAUUUCCUGUGAUCAGCAAAGGGGAUCCAAACCCUUCCAAAGCUGAGUAUUGUGGGAAAAAUAUGGAUAUUAUGGAAAAAAAUAUGGAUAUCAUGGAAAAAAAACCCAGAUAUUAUGGAAAAUCACCCAGGAGAAGGUGCUCAAGGAAACCUCUGGGGCAUCCAAAAUCAAAAAUGGGCCUGGUAGGAGCAGCCUGGCCAAAAUUGCUCCUAAAAUCCUUUAAUUGACACCCCAACAGCCCCCAAAAUCCAAAUUUUUAGGGUUUGCUGAUGAAGUGUGUCAGGAUUUUGGGGUGGAAUUUAGGAUUCUUCUUAUAAAAAACCCCAAUAAAAAAGAAUCAGAGGCUCAGCUGAGAAAUCUCCCCUCACACCGAGCGAGGCCUCCCCUCAAAAUCCCAAUUUCCUGUGCUCAGCAAGGCUGGGAAUGUGGACAACAGCAAAAAAAAUUAAAAUAAAAACGCCUUUUCCAUCUUCCUGACAGAGAAAUUAAUUUUAAACCCUUGUCUGGAUCACCCAGGACUCUCUGGAACAUCAGUCUUGUGUGCCAGGAUGGAUUUUCUGUCUCAAAUUAACAUUUCAGCCGAAUUCUUUGGGAAAAAUCGGAGUGACAGACACAGAGAAUCACACACACACUCCCAAAAUCAGAUUCACCCCAGGGUCAGGCAGUGAGGGUCCUGCUCAAGCCCCUCAGGAGUCAGAAUUCCAUGGAAAACACCCCCAAAAUCCCUGGGAUGUGCCCAAAAAGGGGCUUAAGGCUGUCGGGCUGUUCCCACCCAGCUCCUCCUCCUGUCCCCGCUUAAAAACCAACCAAAAUUUCCUUUUUUUUUAAAGAUUUAAAAAGGAAUUCGCAUCUCAGGAAUUCACAUUCCUGGCUGGGGGUGCUUUUCUCACCUCAAUAAAAUUCCUUCCUCUGCUGCUUUUCCUUAGACAUAAAGUUGACUUUAUUUCUUUUCUUAAAAAGUUAAAAAUACAGAAGGUUCAGAAACUGCUUUUCUCCUUGCGGGUUGCAGCUUAAGGAGAAAACAAUCCUUCACUGAAAUGUUUCUCUUAAUUGGCUUUUUUUAUUAUUAUUAUUAUAAUAAAUUUUUCUAAUUUUGGGGUUUUUUCCUCUCAAUCAUCAUCACCCUUUUUUUUUUUUAAGGACAGAGGUUGAGGAGCACUGACUCCACCACUAAUUUCAUUUUAAUGCCAUUUUUUUUCCUCUUUCUUUUUUGGUUUUUUGAUUCCAGAUUCACAUUUCCA